AUGCCUGGUCGGCAGAGGACCCAGGGAAGGGUAGCCUCAGUGGCGAUGGAGGAAGGCCAUUUCAGCUGGCCAAGGCAUGGAUUUCAUUUUCAACCAAUUUUUUUUCAUUUAAAAUGAAUUACUGAGGGGACAGCCCAGCUCUCUUCGUGAUUGUUACCGCAACUAUAUACAACAAUUUGCUUUCCAGAUUCAGUUCUGCCUUUUCUACAUCAGGUAUAAAAGGGGACAGACUGGAAUGGUGAGGGUCAAAUGAGAAGAAAAUAAGACAAACAUACAGACACACACAUAUCCUGGUUUGGGAUUUUUCUACCCAGUAAGUUUUAAAAAGUGAACAUUCUUGCCCAUCCUCCACCUGAGGAAUGCCGUGCAUUUGAGAAACAGACUCUUACAUGAGCAGUGCUGUGUAAAACAGGAUAGGGAGGGGGAGGAAAGGAAGCCACCAGGGCCUGGAACUCACUAUAAAUUUGUUUUGUUAAAAGCAAUAAACCGAACAGCAUUAGGAAGUGGGGUGGGGUGCAGCAGAGCUAUAUGGGAAACUGGCUGCUGGGUGGGAGUUUGCUCUUUUUUAUCUUCCUUCUUAGAGAAAUGCCAUGGAAGCAGGAUGGUGUCACAGGAGCUGGGAGGCAGGGAGGCAGGAUGAGGCCACAGGAGCUGGGAUGCAGGAUGAGGCCACAGGAGCUGGGAUGCAGGGAGGCAGGAUGAGGCCACAGGAGCUGGGAUGCAGGGAGGCAGGAUGAGGCCACAGGAGCUGGGAUGCAGGAUGAGGCCACAGGAGCUGGCUGGAUGGUAAGGAGGGUUAUUUUGGUGUAAAUGUUUUACUCCUGCUCGCCUUGGACUUUAGUCCCUCCUUCCAGUGCUUAGUCCCUGAGCUCAGGAGACCCGAUACUAGUGAUUUUUAAUACUCUACACAAAAGUGCUUUUAUAGAAGGGGAACUGACAAAUUUGAAACAAAACCACUUCUCAAAGUCUCAACUCUUCCAUGGCCAUAGCAACUAGUUUGUGAGUUUGGAAAUCUAUGAAGCUCUUUCUGGAAAAAAAAAAUUUAUUUUUUUAAAGAGGAUUUUAUUUUGUUCUAUUUGCUGAGUACUGUACUUAGGUCCUGGUGUGGGAAAAGGCAAGGUUGAACUUAAGGACGUAGAUAACGUUAUUUUCACUGUGCAGAACUCUCUCCUGUGGGUGGAGCAGAGACAUGGCCUUUCUGGCAGUAACUGGAGCCCCACAGCUGUCAGCUGCUCUGGGGAAGGAGGGUCUGGCUAGGCUCUCAAACUCUUAACCACUUAAAGAAGGGAGAGGGUGGUUGCCAGGAGAACAUUUUAUCAUAGAAAUGCAAAUUAGAUUUUAUUUUCCUUUUUUUUACACUAUUAUCAGAAAAAGAAGCUGUCAAAACAGCAAUUCAAAUGAGACCUCCAACACAAUUCCUCCACUGAAGCCCCAUAGUUUGCCAGAUAGAAAUUUCAGAGGCAGGAAGUUGCCUACUAGAGGCUGCGAGCUUCCCUGACUUCCACCCCAAAGCUUUCACUGUUAACUCCCAGAAACCUAAGUAUGAGAAAAAUGACUUUGAGAUGUUAACAUUUGAAUCAGACUGUAGAUGUUUCUUUUUGGGGGGGGGUCUCCAAACAUCAGCCAUCUUGGAGCAAGGGCUCUUAUGUACUGGAUUCACUACAGAACCGUUAAAAGCAUUGCCGGACACCGCCAUAAAGGUUUGACUUGGUAAAUCUGGAUUAGAGCCUGGGAAAUUUAUCCCUAACGCAUUUAUUCCUACAUUCUGCUGUUGCUUGUCUGAAAACAUCCAUCUAGUGCCACCACUGUAUGGAUUGAAAGGCUGAAUCAAGAACCAGAGGUUCCCCUUCUAGGAUCACGUUGGAGAAUGUUCCCUGUGACAUAAUCAUUAAGGAAAACAGCCAGAAUGUUAAACCGGAAUGGACUAGCAUAAAUAGGUGAACCUCU
rnacentral:lncRNA from 1 species